CCUACGGGUGGCAGCAGUGAGGAAUAUUGGUCAAUGGACGCAAGUCUGAACCAGCCAAGUAGCGUGAAGGAUGACUGCCCUAUGGGUUGUAAACUUCUUUUAUAUGGGAAUAAAAUGUUCCUCGUGAGGCUUUUUUUGUAUACCAUAUGAAUAAGAAUCGGCUCACUCCGUGCCAGCACCCGCGGUAAUACGGAGGAUCCGAGCGUUAUCCGGAUUUAUUGGGUUUAAAGGGAGCGUAGGUGGGUUGUUAAGUCAGUUGUGAAAGUUCGCGGCUCAACCGUAAAAUUGCAGUUGAAACUGGCAGUCUUGAGUACACGAGAGGUGGGCGGAAUGCGUGGUGUAGCGGUGAAAUGCUUAGAUAUCACGAAGAACUCCGAUUGCGAAGGCAGCUGACCGGACUGCAACUGACACUGAGGCUCGAAAGUGUGGGUAUCAAACAGGAUUAGAUACCCUGGUAGUC
rnacentral:rRNA from 1 species